GUCCUAGCCCUAAACGGUGCACGUUUGCUGUAAGAGGAAUCGACCCCUUUUGUGGCGAAGCUAACGCGUUAAACGUGCCGCCUGGGAAGUACGGCCGCAAGGUUAAAACUCAAAGAAAUUGACGGGGGCCUGCACAAGCGGUGGAGUAUGUGGCUUAAUUCGAUGCAACGCGAAGAACCUUACCUGGCCUUGACAUGCAAGUAGUAGAAUCGUGAAAGCGAGACGAGGUAGCAAUACCAGCUUGCACAGGUGCUGCAUGGCUGUCGU
rnacentral:rRNA from 1 species